UCUGACCUCCUCCCUAUAGGCUGUCUCAUCGUUGAGGGAGAGGUUGUUGUCCUGGUACCACCAGUUCUCUGACCUCCUUCCUAUAGGCUGUCUCAUCGUUGAGGGAGAGGUUGUUGUCCUGGCACCACACGGUCAGGUCUCUGACCUCCUCCCUAUAGGCUGUCUCAUCGUUGAGGGAGAGGUUGUUGUCCUGGUAACACCAGGUCUCUGACCUCCUCCCUAUAGGCUGUCUCAUCGUUGAGGGAGAGGUUGUUGUCCUGGCACCACACGGUCAGGUCUCUGACCUCCUCCCUAUAGGCUGUCUCAUCGUUGAGGGAGAGGUUGUUGUCCUGGUAACACCAGGUCUCUGACCUCCUCCCUGUAGGCCGUCUCAUCGUUGAGGGAGAGGUUGUUGUCCUGGUAACACCAGGAGCCUGUUGCACAAAAGUAGAAUUAAGACAUCCGGGAUAAAUGACUCAGCUGAGCUCAAUGAAGCCAAAACAUGUGCGUCCAGGCUUAAUUGGUUGCACAAAGACCAAGCCAGGAUGAGCAGACACGGAUUCAUUAAGCCAGGUGAAACCAAUCCUGGAUAGGUGCGCGCUCACGGCUCACUCAAAUAGACCCCGCCACAGAUCACAGAUUAACUGAUUUACCAUGGCAACUAGAGCCGCGUACUUUUCCCCGUCGGAAGCACAAAUCCUCAUGGAGGCAUACGAGGAGGUAAAAGAUAUAAUUAAGAAGAAAGGCAACACCGCCACAGUGAUAAAGCAAAGAGAAAAAGCGUGGCAAAGUAUUGCAGACCGCCUGAAUGCGUAAGUAGUGCACAAUUACACACUCACCGCUCCGCUGAAACAUCACAAUUACAAUUCAAAUAUUUAAUUCACAUCUCCAAAAAUGAAACGGUUAAAUUUUUUAAUUGAAAUGCACUGCAGAUAUGAGUGAAAUUGUGUAAAGUAACUCCAUCACACUGUAUAAAGCUAUGAUACAUUUUUUGAUAUUUUUACUGAAAACAAGACAAAAAUACCAAGUAAUUUUUUGCAGUGUGACUCCAUUAAAUGUGUGUGUGUGUGUGUGUGUGUGUGUGUGUGUGUGUGUGUGUGUGUGUGUGUGUGUGUGUGUGUGUGUGUAGAUUAAACAUGAACGGGCCAAAACGGACAUGGCAGCAGGUCAAAAUCAAAUACAAGAACAUUCUGCAGAAUGCAGUGAAAAAGAAUACCCACAGACAAGGCACGGGUGGUGGGUCACCAAAGGCUGACCUUACCCCAGCAGAGGACAUGGCCUUGGAGCUAAAUAAAGGCAGGCCCGUCUUAGAGGGGAUCCCUGGGGGGAAAGAGACGAGCAUAGGUUCCUCCCAAGAUGCCACCCGCUUCAUUCAAGUGCCUGGCAGCACUGUGUUCCUGUUAGAGCCACCAGCACAAGCACCAGACGAUGCUGAUCCAGGUGAAGGCCCCAGUGCAGCAGCAACAGCACAUGAUGGAGACGAUGAUGAGGAGGAGACCAUCUCUCUGGAUUCCAGAAGGCAUGAGGACCCAGAUGCUAUACAGUGGGAAAACCAGCCUGGCAACAUAGUGCGUAUUAAUAAAGGACACCACAUCCUGCCAAAUUCCAGCUGCGCUAAUUGUAUUGUGUUCACAGAGCUCACAAGCUAUCAGAAAGUUGUAUGGCAACCACCUCCGGCGCCAAAUAGAACUGGCAGACAUAGACAUUCAGUACAAGAAGAAAAAGAUGGAAAAUCUUGCACUGGAUGUGAGCUCUUAUUGUGAGCACACAGGACGGUGGCAUCUUUCUAAGGUUUUUUUUAUUUUCCCAGCAAUCAGUACAACCAAGUCAUCGUUAUA